rnacentral:rRNA from 1 species
GACGAACGCUGGCGGCGUGCUUAACACAUGCAAGUCGAACGGGUCUGCCCUGUUUUUUGCGGGGUGGGUCAGUGGCGAACGGGUGAGUAACACGUGAGUAACCUGCCCCUCACUUCUGGAUAACCGCUUGAAAGGGUGGCUAAUACGGGGUGUUCUGGCUGUGCCGCAUGGUGUGGCUGGGAAAGAUUCACUUUUGUGGUGUUUUGGUGGGGGAUGGGCUCGCGGCCUAUCAGCUUGUUGGUGGGGUGAUGGCCUGCCAAGGCUUUGACGGGUAGCCGGCCUGAGAGGGUGGGCGGGCACACUGGGACUGAGAUACGGCCCAGACUCCUGCGGGAGGCAGCAGUGGGGGGUAGUGCACAAUGGGCGGAAGCCUGAUGCAGCGGCGUCGCGUGAGGGAUGGAGGCCUUCGGGUUGUGAACCUCUUUCGCCGGUGAAGAAGGUCCUGCUCUUUGUGGUGGGGUUGACGGUAGCCGGGUUAUGAAGCGCCGGCUAACUACGUG